GACGAACGCUGACGGCGUGCUUAACACAUGCAAGUCGAAGGGAGUGGCGAACGGGUGAGUAACACGUGAGUAACCUGCCCUUUUCUUUGGGAUAAGCCUGGGAAAUUGGGGCUAAUACUUGAUGGCAUGGGAUGGGCUCGCGGCUUAUCAGCUUGUUGGUGGGGUGAUGGCUUACCAAGGCUUUGACGGGUAGCCGGACUGAGAGGGUGGGCGGUCACGCGGGGACUGAGAGACGGCCCAGGCUCGUACGCGAGGCAGCAGUGGGGGAUAUUGCACAAUGGACGAAAGGCUAAUGCAGCGAGGUGGUGUGGGGGAUGAGGGCCUUCGGGUUGUAUAUUCCUUGCGCCCGCGGAGUGGUAGUGGGUAAAGAAGCGCCGGCUAACUACGUGCCAGCAGCCGCGGUAAUAC
rnacentral:rRNA from 1 species